rnacentral:lncRNA from 1 species
ACUUCAUAACUUUUAUUUUUGUGUUCUCUUAAAUAACUUUUCUUUCCAUUUUAGGACACUACCCUAGCACUAAUAAUGCCUCAUUUACUUUUACUUUUCACUUUUUUAUCACUCUCCUCUACACCACACAAAGAUGGAAAAACAGCCGCACGCAAGCGGAACACGACUCACACAAAUUAAGGUGAGAAUACUUGUGUGGGAAAACUACCCGCACACAGGUGGGAUUGAACCCAAGACCUCUCACAUAGGAGAGUCUUUGGGUGCCUCAGCUUUGCUACUAGAGCAAGGCCUCAUCGGCCAUCACUCUCAAUAUUAAUUAUAGCACAUUUUCAACAUUUACUAUACUAGUAUAACAUUUUUCACUGCUUCCAAUACAUUUAAUAAUUUUGUUUUAAAACUCGUGCCCU